ACGAGGUUGUCCUCAGACUGAAUAAACCAGUGGCUAGGCUGAGGUAGUGAUGUCACCUCUAACACCGAGGCUUCAAACAACGCUUCAAAAACUCUACAGGGUUGCUAUGGUGAAGCAGUGGGGCGGAGCUUGCGUCAUGAGAUGUCACCGAUGACGUGUGAACCACUUCACUGCUUCAUUCAGACCGAGUCAGCUGACUGCUUCGAGUUGAUUGGCGGAGUUUCAAACAUCUGGCGCGAUUCAGUGUAUUUAAGAUGCUCUCAAGCCCCGGUUCACAUCCCUGUUCAACACGUUUUAUACGUUACAAACAGAUCUUGUUUUUUGGAUAUUCUGAGAUUUGCUGGAUUAUUCUGUCAUGGAGCAACCAUCUAGGAAGCGUUCCCAAGUGUGGGAAUAUUUCGAUUUGAUGCCACCUAACAAGGUAAUGUACAUUCAAAGUGUUUAUUAAAAGGUCUAUAGCCUAUACUAUGCAGUAGUGUUAUAGUCAUGGUAUCAUGUUAUGCAAGAGGUGCAGUAACGGGUUGUUAUCUUGGUUUUACAGGUGCAGUGUUUGCUUUGCCCGCAGCUGCUGACGUAUAAUAAUAAUACGUCAUCAAUGCUGAGGCAUUAUAGAGACAAACACAAGAAAACUCAGCCUCCUGCCACCAAUCAAGGAUCCAGGAAGCAACUUCAUAGUGAAGGACUUCCAGCCUUUCAUUGUAUUCACACCUAAAGCAUCCAGCCAAACAGUUCCUUGUUAAACCAGCCUCCUCUGUUCCCUGUGAAAGAGGAUUUUCCAAAGCUGAAGAAA